rnacentral:rRNA from 1 species
UACGUAGGCAGCGAGCGUUGUUCGGAGUUACUGGGCGUAAAGGGUGUGUAGGCGGUUGUUUAAGUUUGGUGUGAAAUCUCCCGGCUCAACUGGGGAGGGUGCGCCGAAUACUGAAUGACUUGGAGUGCGGGAGAGGAGAGUGGAAUUCCUGGUGUAGCGGUGAAAUGCGUAGAUAUCAGGAGGAACACCGGUGGUGUAGACGGCUCUCUGGACCGUAACUGACGCUGAGACACGAAAGCGUGGGUAGCAAACGGG